UACGUAGGGUGCGAGCGUUGUCCGGAAUUAUUGGGCGUAAAGAGCUCGUAGGCGGUCUGUCGCGUCUGCUGUGAAAUCCCGAGGCUCAACCUCGGGCUUGCAGUGGGUACGGGCAGGCUAGAGUGCGGUAGGGGAGAAUGGAACUCCUGGUGUAGCGGUGGAAUGCGCAGAUAUCAGGAAGAACACCGAUGGCGAAGGCAGUUCUCUGGGCCGUAACUGACGCUGAGGAGCGAAAAGCGUGGGGAGCGAACAGG
rnacentral:rRNA from 1 species